UACUUGGAUAUUGAAUAUAAUUGGAACACAAUAAUUUUUGUUCGAAGAUUGUUCUUGCUGACGGUUGUAGGUUGCAACUUGCUCGGAGCAGUAUGGCAAAGCAAGUCUGAUGCAUUGCAUUUCUGUAUACUCCAUUCUCGUCCAUCGUUAAAACUGGUAAACUGUGUACAACUGAAUGCAUGUUCAAAAUCACAUAUGCGAUAUUCCAAAAUAUAAAAUCUCAAUGAAUUUGAAAAAAUUAUUGCUGUUGAAUUUCGGAAUGCUGGAGAAUCACACCUCUGAACUGUAUUAGGAGAAUCCUAUUGGUAUUAAAUGGCGAUGUUUGAAUUCAACCGAGAUCUCUUGCAGCCUUGCCAGUCUUGCUUAGCAGGUAUUCAGCAGCUGUGGACUGGUGAGAUGAGGGAAUUCGACCAUUUUUUGUGAAUUAGGGCAGUCAACCCAUUCUCGACCACCUCCCAUUUCUGACCUAUAGGGUGGUAUAUUUCUAAUCAACUUGACAUAAUAAUAAUGAUCAGUUUUAAUACAUUAUGGUUUCACAUUACUUAAUUCACAUUUUACCUCAACUCCAGAUGCAGAAGAAAUUAUAGUCCAUGGCACCAUUGGGUAAGAAAUGAAGAAUUUCAUGCUAACUCAAAAACUUUGGCUCAAAUCAAGUAUUCUUGAUUUUGUAAUCAACCACUCAUUGGAAUUAGAUUGGUUUAUAUGUUGGAUUUGUAUCAAAUAGAAUCUUGAGCUUAAAUAUUAACAUUAAUUUUGUAUCUGGGCAAAAUGAUGGAAAAACACCUAAAAUCCUUUUGAUUUCUAUUUCUUUAUAUAAGGAAUUUUUUAAAUUUUUCAUACAUAUAUUGCAGAUAUGCUAAAAUGCUUAAGUUAUUGGAAAUAGAUCAACUACUUUAUGUGGAACCUUUCAUCACAUGUUUCAAACAAAGUUGCUGCUGAUGGCUAGAGCUGAUGGCUAGAGCCCAUGAGAUUGCUUGUCUGCAAUGGGUCAAGUCUUGCAGUUAUUGACAUUCAUGUUUACCAGCUAAAAUCCUCACUAAGAUCAAUGUUCAUGAAAAUUCUUCAUAUUUAUUAAAUAAUCUUUAUUUACAAUUAAGACAUUAGCAUUAUUUGUAACUUGAUAGAGAUUUAAUUGCUGAUGUAGAAGGAGAUUUGAAAUCCAAGAUUCUACAUGACUAUUUGUAAAAAAAAAAUAUAGAACUAAUAAUUAUAGUAAUGUUUGGUCUUA
rnacentral:lncRNA from 1 species